AAAUGCGAUAAGUAAUGUGAAUUGCAGAAUUCAGUGAAUCAUCGAAUCUUUGAACGCACCUUGCGCUCCUUGGUAUUCCUUGGAGCAUGCCUGUUUGAGUAUCAUGAAAUCUUCAAAGUAAAUCUUUUGUUAACUCAAUUGGUUUCUACUUUGGUAUUGGAGGUCUUUGCAGCUUCACACCUGCUCCUCUUUGUUCAUUAGCUGGAUCUCAGUGUUAUGCUUGGUUCCACUCGGCGUGAUAAGUUAUCUAUCGCUGAGGACACUGUAAAAGGUGGCCAAGGUAAAUCCAGAUGAACCGCUUCUAAUAGUCCAUUGACUUGGACAAUACUUUUAUGAUCUGAUCUCAAAUCAGGUAGGACUACCCGCUGAACUUAAGC
rnacentral:misc_RNA from 1 species